rnacentral:rRNA from 1 species
ACCCGCUGAACUUAAGCAUAUCAAUAAGCGGAGGAAAAGAAACUAACAAGGAUUCCCCUAGUAACGGCGAGUGAAGCGGGAAAAGCUCAAAUUUGUAAUCUGGCGCCUUCGGCGUCCGAGUUGUAAUCUCGAGAAGUAUUUUCCGCGCUGGACCGCACAUAAGUCUGUUGGAAUACAGCGUCAUAGUGAUGAGAACCCCGUAUAUGGUGCGGAUGCCCAGUGCUUUGUGAUAUACUUUCGAAGAGUCGAGUUGUUUGGGAAUGCAGCUCAAAUUGGGUGGUAAAUUCCAUCUAAAGCUAAAUAUUGGCGAGAGACCGAUAGCGAACAAGUACCGUGAGGGAAAGAUGAAAAGCACUUUGGAAAGAGAGUUAACAGUACGUGAAAUUGUUGGAAGGGAAACGCUUGAAGUCAGACUUGCAUUUUGGAGUUCAGCCGCAAGGUGUAUUCUUCAAUUCGCAGGCCAGCAUCAGUUUUCGGGGGUGGAAAAUCGCGGUUUGAAGGUAGCAGUCUCGGCUGUGUUAUAGCUUUCCGCUGGAUUCACUUUUGGGGACUGAGGAACGCAGUACGCUUUUUGCAAGAUUCUAGAGUCUUUCGUACUUAGGAUGCUGGUGGAAUGGCUUUAAACGACCCGUCUUGAAACACGGACCA